rnacentral:lncRNA from 1 species
AUAUAGAUCCAAUGAACCUGAUAUUUGAACCAAUGGAAAGCUAACUCAAGUGGUCAUAAUUUAUCUGUUGAUCAUAAGUCCAAAUUCGCUGCACAAUAUAUCUGAAAAUUGGCAUCAAGUUGCAUGUUCCAGCUGUCUUGAAGCUGGACAGAAACAAGUUGUAUUGCCUACUUGAAUUAUGGAUGUUCCUUUGCCUAUAAAAGGGGACCUUGGCCACGAUUUUGAAGAAUGAAUCCUCUCCAUCAUAUUCUAGUUUCCUUCAUUUUCUUUGUAACAUUUCACUAUGUAUUUCUAAACAUUUAGCUAGAGCUAGGGGUGAAACUUUGAUGAAUGUUUAGUAUUGUCUUUGAUCUUUCAUUUUAUUCUCCAAUGUUCAUCUUCUUACUUGGUUGAAGUAUAUGUUCUACAAAUGGUUUUGGUUUGUUAAAGACUUUGAUUUAUUGUUGACAAUUUUGGCACAAUAAAUGCUUAGAUAAUCUCUACAUACCAACAACUUAUUUUGACAUAUUCUCUCAAACAAUUAUCAAGAUCUAUCUUUUAAUAUAUUUGUGAUUAAUGUUUUAUCUUCCAUAUGAGAUGACUCCUUAGUUGAUUUUCAUAUGAGUUAAAUUAAAGAUCAAGGGCAAUUUCUACUCAUUUAUCCAAAGUGAAUCCCCGACGCUCUAGUGUUCGUCUCAAUCGUAUUUUCACCAACCGUUCACUACUCAUAGACUAGUUCGUUUCCUUCCAAAUCCCUGUGGUUCGACCUUGGACUUCCGAGAUUUACUACUUGCGACAACCUGCACUUGGGUUUGCAACCUU